rnacentral:tRNA from 1 species
UGGGCUUGUAGCUCAGCGGUAAGAGCUGCCGGCUCAUAACCGGUGAGACGCGAGUUCGAAUCUCGCCGAGCCCAAC